rnacentral:rRNA from 1 species
UAGAAUUUUAUAUUAACUUUACCUAGCGGUUAAUGCUGGUUUUUUGUUAAUAUUUGGUUGGGAGGAUUAUUAAAUUUAACAAACUUUAUAUCAUUAUAAACUUUGAUUUAAGAAAAUAUAAUGAUCUUCAAUUUGAAAUAGUUAGAGUAAAUUACCUUAGGGAUAACAGCGUAAUAUUUUUUUAUAGACCUUAUAGAAAAAAAUGGUUGCGACCUCGAUGUUGAAUUAAGAUAAAUUUUAAAUGCAGGAGUUUAAUAAUUA